rnacentral:rRNA from 1 species
AGAGUUUGAUCCUGGCUCAGGACGAACGCUGGCGGCGCGCCUAACACAUGCAAGUCGAACGAGAGAGAAGGAGCUUGCUUCUUCGAUCGAGUGGCGAACGGGUGAGUAACGCGUGAGGAACCUGCCUCAAAGAGGGGGACAACAGUUGGAAACGACUGCUAAUACCGCAUAAGCCCACGGGUCGGCAUCGACCUGAGGGAAAAGGAGCAAUCCGCUUUGAGAUGGCCUCGCGUCCGAUUAGCUAGUUGGUGAGGUAACGGCCCACCAAGGCGACGAUCGGUAGCCGGACUGAGAGGUUGAACGGCCACAUUGGGACUGAGACACGGCCCAGACUCCUACGGGAGGCAGCAGUGGGGAAUAUUGCACAAUGGGGGAAACCCUGAUGCAGCGACGCCGCGUGGAGGAAGAAGGUCUUCGGAUUGUAAACUCCUGUUGUUGAGGAAGAUAAUGACGGUACUCAACAAGGAAGUGACGGCUAACUACGUGCCAGCAGCCGCGGUAAAACGUAGGUCACAAGCGUUGUCCGGAAUUACUGGGUGUAAAGGGAGCGCAGGCGGGAAGACAAGUUGGAAGUGAAAUCUAUGGGCUCAACCCAUAAACUGCUUUCAAAACUGUUUUUCUUGAGUAGUGCAGAGGUAGGCGGAAUUCCCGGUGUAGCGGUGGAAUGCGUAGAUAUCGGGAGGAACACCAGUGGCGAAGGCGGCCUACUGGGCACCAACUGACGCUGAGGCUCGAAAGUGUGGGUAGCAAACAGGAUUAGAUACCCUGGUAGUCCACACCGUAAACGAUGAUUACUAGGUGUUGGAGGAUUGACCCCUUCAGUGCCGCAGUUAACACAAUAAGUAAUCCACCUGGGGAGUACGACCGCAAGGUUGAAACUCAAAGGAAUUGACGGGGGCCCGCACAAGCAGUGGAGUAUGUGGUUUAAUUCGACGCAACGCGAAGAACCUUACCAAGUCUUGACAUCCCUUGACGAACAUAGAAAUAUGUUUUCUCUUCGGAGCAAGGAGACAGGUGGUGCAUGGUUGUCGUCAGCUCGUGUCGUGAGAUGUUGGGUUAAG